UUUAAGCAAAUAUUAUGGUCUAUUACUAAAUAAUAGACCUGUUUAUUGUUGGGCCACUGCUGGGCUGGUUUUUCAGUUUUCUUAUUGUUGGUGUUUUUUAACCGAAGUAGCGAAUUUUACAGAUUUAAAAUUUCUUUCUCAUUGUUAUCUACACAAACAAAAGGUUGUAAAUUUUCUCCUUUAAUUAUUUCUAAUCUAUUCUAGUAAACGUUUAUUAAAAAUGUAAAAUAAAGUUAGAAACCGGUAGUUAAAAGGUGUUUCUUAGCAAUUCUUGUGAUAUUUAUGAUGGAUGCUGAGUUUACGGGCCGUAGUUUACGGAUUUCUGUACAGUGGUGGGGAAAAAGUGGAUCGGUCACAUGGCGUCUGAUCUAAGCAAUUGUAGUAAGAGCAAAAACAAUUUCAAGCUUUAUGAGAAAACGUAGUUGAUAUGCAUUCGUGUAUUCAGUGAAAUAACCAUGUUAUACUUAUUUUCUGAAAAUAGGCUAAUAUCUCACUGGCAGUAAGAGGGUAAAUUUCAAUCGAAAUAAAGGAAUUCCCGUGGCGUGUUAAACAAACAUAUUACUUUUGGUCAGCACAAAAAUGUCAAAAUAUAUUUAGCGUUAUUAUUCAAUUUCUGGAGAGUGGGUUGCUUCAGGUUCAAUUAGGGCGGGCACUAUGUUCAGGUUUAUCAUAAACACUUUAAAUGACUGUUGGUUUUUAUGUAGCAAUAGUAAAAGGAACUUAAUUGUGGCAAUGCGGCAAUAGUCGGUACUUACUGCAGUUAAGAGGUGGUCUUAUGGCGCAUUUAUUUAUAAUUACCAAGACAUUUUGUUGAGUCACGUUUUAGUUCAUAUGCAAUAAAUCUCUAAAAGGUUUGUUAAUUAUUAUAGUGGGUUAGCUAUAAGCCAAAUAUGGCUUUUUUCGGUAUUUACUUAUUAUCUUUAUUGUUUAUUUUAUUGCACACAUGGAAACGCGAAACCGGAAAAGGCGCCGUCCGUCGGUCAAACUACACCAGCAUCCCAGCCAAAACCUACCUGGCACCAGCCAACAACCCCGUCAGCUGCCUUCCACCCAAAUGCCCGAUCAGCUGCCUUCCAACCAACAGCCUGUCCAGCUGCCUCCAAACCAACAGCCUGUCCAGCUGCCUCUCACCCCCAGCCAUCGACUCGGCCAAUGGUCUUCAAACCAACAGUCCGGCCAUCAACCCGACCAGCUGCCUCUCAGUCAACAACUGGGCGACCAGAUGCAGCCUGCAGCAAGCCAGCCAGAUCCGGCUGGUCAAUCGGUUUACUGCUUCCGACUCCAAGCAUGCGUCCAUCCGCCCUGCAGCCAAAGUUCUUUGGCAGUGGCCACAAAAAAAAAAUAUAACAAUAGAAGGUUUCAACUGCCCAUAGUGCCCUACCACCCGUUAAAUCCGUGCCUGUGGUCUCAAUCAUUUGCGACUGGAUGCUAAAAUGAAAAAAGCCAUUACAUUGAUAAUUACAUAUGUCCGAGAAAUUGGACGAGCUGGAAGAACGGGCACAGAUGCACAGGCCAUCCUGUACUUCAACCAAGGAGACUUGGUGUCAGCAGCAAUGAGGAAAGACAAUAAAGAAUAUUGUUUAUACAAUUCAAUGUGCAAACGUGAAAUUAUUUAUUCUUUCUUCGGAUUCCACACAACGGUUAAACAACGUGUCUGUUGCAGCGUUUGUUGUAAUUCUGAUCUGGAACUGGAAUGGCAGUUUGGAAAUCUAAGAUUUUUUUUUACAAUGUACUGCAGUUCUCUACUGACUGGAUACGCUUAAGUGUGCCCAUUCAGAUAUUUUCUAUAUACAAAAAAAAACAGAAACAUUCUUAAUAAUGAUUAUUUGUUAAAGAUGCUGUUAUAUUAUAUUGUGAAUUAAAUAUUUUCAUCUUAAAAUAUUGACUUUAACUUACCGGUCCUGGGGGUCGUUUCAACAAACAUCAUGUGACAGAUUUAGAAUAUGAGGCAUAUUUCAAAUAAACAUUAUUACUAAACACGAAAUCAUAGUAUUGCUAAUUUCGGUUAAUUGAUACAUGUCAUAAUGUUCUUACCCAUGGCCCAAAUUUUGAGUGCAUUUUGUUUAACAGCUUAUAUAUGUUCAAUUGUCCAGUUUUAAUUGUAUAUUUGAAUUGUCUUACGACCUUUGAUGAAACAGUCCCCAGCAUCUUCAAAGUUUUUGCUUAAUUAUGAUAAACCGGGAAAUAUGUACCAACUUUUUUCUUAAAUUACGUGCUAUAAAAAGAAAAACAAAUGAUUUAACGAUAUCUCUCUCUGAUCGUUUCCAGGUAAACAUAGCCAUGUAAGCAAUUAAUAAGUAAAAAAGACUAUACAAAUAAUAAGUUGUAUCCUAUUUGACACCUUUAAAGCACAUGAAAUUACACCAAGGGAAACUAAAGUCUACAAUUCAUAGAAAAAGUUUACUUUGUGAUUUACUUAAAGAAUAAAUUAUGUAUAGAUACUACAUUUCAGUAUAUCUGAAUCAUGUAAUGUAAAAUUAUAUUAUUUCAGAGCAAUAAACAAUCAAACAAGCCAA